rnacentral:tRNA from 1 species
GCCACCCUAGCUCAAUCGGUAGAGCAAUCGCUUCGUAAGUGAUGGGUUUCGAGUUCAAGUCUCGAGGGUGGCUC